ACAGACAAAAAUCCCUGCCAAAUGUAACUUACACUCUAAUGAGGGGAAAUAGAUAAUAAACCAAAAAAAAGUGAAUCAGAUAGCAUGUUAAAUAGUGAUAAAUGCUUUGGAGAAAAAUAAAGCAGGGAGCUAGGCAAGGAGAUGGGGUUUGGAGGCAUUACAACUUUCAAUAGGGUUGUCAGCAAAGGCCUUAUUGUGAAGAUGCCUUUUCAGUAAAGACCUGAAGAAGGUGAGUCAGAAAGGAGGUGGAGUUUGAGGGUAAUAGCAUUCCACGGAGCAGAAAAAGCAAGUGCAGGAACAGCAAGAAGCAGAGUGAGAGAGGUGGGGAGAAUUCAAGAUGAUGUUAGAGAGAUGACAGAGUCUAGGUUAGGGAGGGCCUGAGUCCUUGUAGACUCUGAGUACGGUGCUGAGCAGGGAAGAGACAGGCUCUGGCUUAGGGUUUAGAAGGAACACAGGCUACUGCGAUGAGGAUUGUCUGAAGGGGAACAAAGGCCAAGGUGGGGAGACCACUUAGAACUCUACUGCUCUACUUUAGGUGAAAUGUUAGAACUGGGUGAGCCGAAAACAUGCUCAGCAUCUGUGAGGAGGGGGCACAGAGGGAGCAAGGAUGGAUCCAGGGUUUUUAGUCUGAUCAACUGAAAGUCUGGAACAGCCAUUACUUAAAAUAAGGAAGUCUAAGGGAAGAAGAGAUUUAGGGGAGAAUAUCACGAAACUUGGUUUUAGGAUGGGUGCAUUCGAGAUGCAGAUUGCACAUCCAAGCCAAGAUGCCAAAUGUUGUUUGAAGCCGUGAGACUGAGUGAGAUCAUGGAGGAAGUGAAUGUAAAUAGAAAAGGGAAGAAGUCUGAAGACGGAGCCCUGAGACACUCCAUUGUAAACUGGAAGAUGAGGAAGAGCCAGCAAAGGAGACUGAGAAGGGGCAGCCAGUGAAGAUGGAGCCAGGGCUAGAGUAAGAGCCCCUUCUGGGAUGCUGUGACCCCCAAGUUUGAAGACUGCUGAUAACCCCAAUCUACGAAGACUAGCUAUGGAACUUCCUACACUGAGACAACUCCAGUGGAACUCUGAUAAUUAUCCUAAAAUAAGGAGGCUUCUUCAGUAGCCCUCGAAAUAUGUUCAAAUACAUGAUUACAUUUAUGUCCUUAAUAUUGCUAUUAGUUUCUGAUGUUAAUGUAAAAGUUGGGGAAAAAGUGGAAAAGUUAAAGCAGUGCAGGUUAAUUCAAUGCCAGAGUAACUUCUCAGAGGGUGUAUAUUCAGUGUGAACAAUUUUCAACAGAGAAAUGUCAACUUCUGGCCACAACGGCAACCAGUAAAAUGACUAUUUUUACUGUCUUAUCUAUUAAUGAAGAGGAGAUUGCAUAAUAUAGAUGAAGGAGCAUAGUAUUUGCAGGUGGAACGCCUAGCAGGGCUUGAGUCUCAACUCUGCUGCUUUUACUCUAAUUGACCGAGACAAGUCAUUUAAACUAAUAGAGCUUCAAUUUUCUCAUAUCUAAUGUAACAUAACAAUUCACAGCCUUUUACUUUGUAGUUAUCGUGAAGAUCUAAUCGCAGUGAAAUAUAUUUAUAUAUCUGUCUGCUGAUAGAACUUUUGUCAUAGAGGCUAGUCCAUUUUAUGUCAACGGGGCUUAAAUAAGAUCUGUGCCAGCAACUGAAUUACACUAAUGAGUGAGUAAUUACAAAAGAAGCCUGCUUUAUCAAUCUAUAUAAAGAAGAAAGUUACUGAGUAUGGAGGGGAGAUUCUCCUUUCAUAUUGGCACUCAUUCUUACUUUCCCUGAAAUAGAGAUUAUAGUAGUCUACCAGCAAUUUUCAAACUUCAAUUCUGGCCUGGAAAUUGGACAGAAGGGGUCCAAGGACAAUGAACCGAAAGUGCCAGUGAAUGUCUCAGUGCAGACUUGGAGUCAUAGUGGUUAAUUUGCAAAAUUAACUCCCUAUUCAGACUUCAGGCAGUUACAUGUCAACCAACAUCAACUUCGACCCUUAAUCUUCAGCCUCAACCUAGUAAUAAUAUCUCUGAGGUGAAUAAGCUAUGAAGUGGACAUUUCCACCUUCCUUUAUUUUAUUUUAUUUAUUUUUUUGAGAUGGAGUCUUGCUGUGUUCCCCAGGAUGGAGUGCAGUGGCACAAUCUGGGCUCACUGUAACCUCUGCCUCCUGGGUACAAGAGAUUCUCCUGCCUCAGCCUCCCGAGUAGCUGGGACUAGAGGUGUGUGCCACCACGCCUGGCUAAUUUUUUGUAUUUUUAGUAGAGACAGUGUUUCACAGUGUUAGCCAGGCUUGUCUCUAUCUCCUGACCUCUUGAUCUGCCCGCCUCGGCCUCCCAAAGUGCUGGGAUUACAGGCAUGAGCCACCACACCUGGCCCCACCUUGCUUUUUUAUUAAGACUGCUAAUAAUAAGUUACUGUGCUUUCUUAUUAUAUCCCCUUUUGGUCUCUGUUAACAAAAAAUACAGUUGUAUGUAAAUUUUAGUAUAUGACAAUGUUCAUCUCACAAUACGUACAGUGAUAAUAGUGGAAGAGGAAGGAAGGUAAAACUUUUGCUGUGAUUCCAUAAAUGAGCAACGUGGGACACCCUUGUAUGAGUCCAGUGCUUACACAAGCGCCUGAACACAGAGCUGCCAGGCUGGGUGCAUGUGUCAAACUCUGCCAAAGCCCUGAAAGCACCAGUUGUGAAAAGCUGGAAAAAGGUCUUGGCAACCAAAAUUCAUGUUGAUUUUUGUCACCUUUUUGAGCAAAUAUUCUUUGCAGAUCAAUAGUCCAUUGGUUUAAUUUUACAAAUGUUUUCUUUUGAAUUUUCUUUCCUCCCAAUGUAGUUUCAAAAAACUAGUCCAUUUAAAAAAUGAUCCUUUUUAUGGAGUGAAAGAAUACAAUACUCAGAGUGGUUCCAUGCUCAAGUUCCAAGAUGCAAAUUUUUUUAUGCAAGUCUCAUAUUCAAUUAAUAGCCCCGAGAUUAUGAAAGAUCCAUUACCUUCUCAAUUGCAGAUUCAGGUAUUGCCAACACAACACAAAGCAGCAUUAAAAUUCAUGUCAUUCUAUAAUGGUAUUUUCCAAAAUGUACUUUUUCCAAACACUUUCCAAAAUGUACUUUUUCAGGUUGCUUUAAAAAUUUUAAUAUAAAAUUUAACAAUUAAAAAUGUAUUUUAUAGUCAGAAUAGCAGGAACUCUUUGUAAGUACUGAGGGAUUAUCACUAAAUAAAAUGUAUAGCAAGUGUGCUAUAGCAGUAUUCUUCUGUAAGAGAUAUCCAGAGUUAUUGACCUGAGAGAAGGAGGAGAAAUGCAUGUAUGAAUGCAAAGAAUCCUGUUUUUCUUCAGCAGGGUACUGAAAACUAAUUCUUCUUCAUGAGGGAAGGCAAACAACCCUCUCUCUGGUCUCUUUUCUACUAUGAUUCAUUUUUUGGUCUAAGUUUUUUCCCAAACCAAGAGUAGACUCCCUCCUGAGUCUCUAUUGACUUACCUGGCUGCCAACAAAGGAAGGCUACUAGUUUCUUGGAAUUCAUAUAAUUAUAUUUCUGUGGGCACUCAUAAAGAGCCAUCAGCUCUGUCCUUGCACACCCCACUUCUAGACUUGCCUCCAGCCGGGGGUGGUAAUAACUGAAAAGAAAACAUUUCUUGACCUACUCCAGUACCUCAUAAAUCGAAAUGUAUCCCUUCAACUAACACUCAAAUUCCAUCUUAUUAAUAUAACUGCCAAACUAAAUUAAGUCCAAUUUUACUUUUUUGUUUACCUCCUAUACAAUGGAAUCAUAUUUUUUCAUAUUAAAAUUUUAGCAAAUAAUAUGUCACCUACCAUUUGCACCUCCACACGAUGCUAGAGAAUUAAGUUGGGAAAGUCAGACCUCCAAUGCUCUUGAUACAAAUAAGUCCUGACCAAAGAUUUAACCAGAAUGUUCCCUCAGUGCUGCUAAAUAAAUAUUUAUUUAUGUAUGUAUUUAUGUAAUACUUCUCCUUUGAAAAGAGAACUUGAGGUAGUCUCCAGAAAUAUACACAUACCAGUGGAAGAAAAACAGACCAAUCUGUGGAAAUUAAAGCAAGAAGAAAGAUAAGCUGGAAGAAAAUAUAUAUUGAAGCAGUAAUGUUGGUGCCUGCCAUACUGGUCUUAGCGUUCUGAUAGGUUCCUGCAUGUUGGUGGUAAUUUUGAAACAGACUAUCCUAAUAAUCCAGGCAAAUAUAGUUUGAAAGCACAAUUAGUCAUGAGACUACCCAUGUUGCUGGCCAAAAUCACACUGCUGUGAGAGACAGCACAGUUGUUCCUGUUCCUGAGAUGCAUGAGGAAUUUUUCUCAUGGUUCCUUAUGAAGUAGACACUGAGUGAUUGGUAGCUAUUAGUGGGAAGCAGGAUAUCUGGGAAGAAGAGGGAAAAAUGACAGCAUUGCACAAAUUUGAGGGAAUGGAUUCUUUGCCUUUAUCAUAUUUAAUGUAAGCUCCUAGUGAUUAAUGAGUUUGAAAUGCCUGGUCAUCUACAUAUGUGUGCCUGAUUCCAGGAGAGAUGGAGUCUGACAGUUUGUAUAGCAGCUAAGUUCAUGGGAAUGGAGUCUGCUGCCUAAGGCCCUGAGCAGCCUUUAUUGCAAAUUCUGUAGAGUAACCCGCUGUGUAGCAAACAGUCAGGAUCACUUAUUAUUAUUUACAGACUUUCCAAAGCUCUCAUCAAAUAGGAGCCCCACACUGUCAAUUUCUGGAAAUAUCAAUGCUUAAUGCUUCCCCAUUCACAAAGUAUGGGGAAGGUGUUGUCAAUCUGGGGAUAGAGGGGAGACUUGUGCCACGUUUUAGAGGAUGGCACUUUGGAACUUAGGGAUACAGAAGUCUAAUGUGAGGACAGCCAUUUGGCGGUCACCUGUCUUAUUCACAAGAGAGGAAUUAACUUCAUAGCAUCCCUAUUGUUUGAAAAGGGGACUUACUGAGUGCCAUCUAUGUGCAAGCUAAUAGGUAAACAGUAAUAUGUUUUCCAAAAGCAGAUGGAAAUUUUGAGAGUCCCAAAGCUUAUAUAAUUAAGGGCAAAGAGAAGGUUUAAGAAAUUUAUAAAUAUAAAACUAUGUAUAAGACUGCGCAUGUAGGCCAUGCAGAGGAGGUAAAGUGCAAGCUUUGGUAACUUCACAGAAAAUCUAUCUAUGAUGGUGUUCUCCUAUAAUCCUCAGAGUAACCAAUGAUCUGAGUGAAACUCUCUCCAUGUGACACAGGACAAAACUGAGAUCCAAUUUUUGUAGUUGCCAAAUUUUGCAAAUAAAAACAAUGGACUUUAAGUUAAAUUUGAAUUUCUAAUAUACAACAAAAAAAUUUUAAUAUAAAUAUGUUCUCAAUUUUUUUAUAUUAAAAAAUCAUCUAUUGGGAUCUGGAAUUCAAAUUUAAUCUGGUGUCCUGUAUUUUAUCUGGUAGUCUUACCAAUAUUAUAUAGCCUAGUUUUUAACCCAGAUUUGUUGUAUAAAAAUACAAAGUUCAAAUAUAUUUUAUUCCUUCCCUAUUAUAAGUACCACAUGUUUAAUAAUUACUAAGCACAGUCAUUUUCCCCUUAAAUAAAAGUAAUCUUUGCAUUAAAUUGUUUAUUAUUUAAAUAAUGGAAAUUAUAUAUACUCUAGUUCUUAAAAACUUAACUUUAAAUUAUCCAGGUAAUAAUAGUUAUUGCAGAAAAAAUUUAAAUGCAAACAGAAAAGGCAAGCAACCUUUAUAAUCCUCUCUUUCACAGAUGACUUCUUUUGUCAUUUAGUUUUUUAUAUCUUCUGACUUUCUUAUGCAAAUAGCUAUAUAUUGCUUUAAAAAAGAAUCAGUGUUAUACAUUCUUUUAAAUACAAAGUGACUUAAAAAAACACAACUUUAUUUUCUUUGUGCUGGGCCUUGUAUGUGAUGAUAGAGAUUUGGCAAUCAAUUAUCAGGAUUUGGAUGAAAAAAAUCAGCAAGUAGAAUACCAGAUGUGAAAACUUCCCACAGAAAUUCUUCUUCCUUUGAAGUGUGAGAUUAAUGAUCUAUAUCAGACGGUCGGUUGACCGUAUUGCAGUUAGACCUAAUGUGAAACAUUUCAGAUGGCUACCGGAUGAUACAGGUAUGGCUGAUAAAAAGCCCCUCAGAAUUGAGAUAAAUCGGCUUGGUCUCAUCAUUAUCUCAUAGAGCAAUGCAGGCAAAGGAAAAAAAAAUAUGUCUCUUGACUGAUUAUUUGAGUUCUUAUUGCAGAUUUAAAAUAAAAUAAAUCAGUGGGAUUACAUGUCAAAUUUAUCUACCAGAAUUGUCACCUAAUAUAUAUAGAUAUUGGUUUUCUUUCAGAGGAGAGGGAAAAUAGAGAAAAAUGGAUAACUUGUCAUAAAUGUAAAACUUCAGAGAGAACUAACAGAAGCGUGCAAGCUAUGUUUUUACAGGCAAAACUUUUUUCUUCUAUAGAACAAGCCUAUAUUAAGCAACAUCGGCGACUCAACUGUUUGUCCCAGUGCAGAAUUUAGGGCUGCCUUCACAUGAAGCAAAAGGAAGUGUCAAAUAAAUUAUUGGAAAACUGCGUUUCAAUACCUGCAUUACCUUGUCUGGCUAUACAGAGUUAACUUGGGUUUCCUAAGAAUUUUCUGGGAAUUUUUACUGAGUAUGCCUGGUCAAAGUAGAAUAAUCUACAUAAUCACCUGUGAUUGUCCCUAAGGAUAACCUGCCCUUGACUCUAUGUCUGACUUCCAUCUUUGAAACCAACACCUAUUGUUACAAGGAGGAGGGACCAUAUGGUAAUAUCUACAAUUAACAGAUAUUCCACAGUCAAUUCCUUAGUAGAAUAGAGAAAAGAAAAAGUGCUGGUCUGGGACCCUGGAGACUUGAAAUCCGGUCAUGAAUCUAACAAUGUCAACACACAAGUUGGCAAGUUGACGCAACGCCAACUUACACAACUUGUACAAUUUACCCAUUCUUGUCUGGGUGCAGUGGCUCACGCCUGUAAUCCCAGCAUUUUGGGAGGCUAAGGAGGGCAAAUCAUCUGAGGUCAGGAGUUCAAGACCAGUCUGGCCAACAUGGGAAAACCCUGUCUCUACUAAAAAAUGCAAAAAUUAGCUGGGCAUGGUGGUGCACGCUUGUAAUCCUAGCUCCUAGGGAGGCUAAGGCACGAGAAUCCCUUGAACCUGGGAGGUGGAGGUUGCAGCAAGCCAAGAUAGAACCACUGCACUCCAGCCUGGGAAACAGAGGGAGGCUCUGUCUCAAAAACAAAACAAAACAAAACAAAUAACCAAAACUUACCCAUUCUUUAUCUUAGUAUCCUCAACUACAAGAUAAGAUUUUAUUGACUCUUUGAGCCCACUCUUAGGAUUCUCAGCUCUAAAAUUAUUUCAAAGGUUUUUUUUUGUCUUCUUGUAAGUUCUGAAUGCAUAUUUCAGUUUGAAAGUUUACCAGUGCUUCUCUCCUCUGCUGAAAAUGUGCUACUAAGUUUAUAAACACACACCUGUUUGAGAAAUAGAUAAACAUUAUAACAAACUUCUACAGCUAUUUUGAAGAUUGAAAACUAUUUGCCCCAUAAGUAUAAAAAUCAAUAAAUAUAUUUGUAUAUAUUUGUAUAUAUUUUAAUUAAACAUACCUUGUCAAUUAAUAUAUGUAUCUGUGUAUAUAGAUAGAUGUGUGUGUAUAUUUAUAUACAUGAUAUAGAUAGAUAAAUAUAUAGCUAUAGAUAAAGAUAUAGCUAUAGUAACACAUGGAUUGAAAAUGAUCUGAACUAAUAUAAAUAAAAUUCUCACUAGUCCAGUGCUUCUCCAUCUAUCUGAAGUGAAGAGCCACAUUUUUUUAAAGUUAUUAUUAUUAUUUCUAAUUCCCUGGUGACAAAAAUACAAUUAAAACAGCAAGUUGCUAUUAAAGUUUCUAACUUUAUUGACUCACUUUGUAUGUGAAUUCUCUCUUUACUUAUCUCCUAGUAAGCCAGUAAUGGAAACAUAUCAUCAUAGGUCUAUGCACCAAAUUUUAUGUAGAAUGUCACUAGGGCAUAAGAUUACAUGAAAUUUUCAUUUUCUUAAUGUUUUAUAUAGUUUGAUUUCAAUGUAGAUAUUAUACCUAGAAUAGAAGAUUUAAAAAAUUAACAUGAAUUUUGGUAUAAUUCGCUUACUAAAAAUACAUAUAUGAGUAGGAUGAUAUAAUUUCAAUUAUUAAUCUAAGUUAUCUCAGGGUAAAAUUAAACAAGAUAUUUCUUUCCUUUUUGGAAGGGGAAUAUUUGUAUUUGUUGAUAUUUCAUAAUCAUUGGAUAUGUAUUACACAUAUAAUGAGAAAAAAACAAUUUCCAUUACUACAUGAACAAAGGGCAAUGUAAGGCUAUUACUAAGUUGGGUUAACACAACUGGUUCACUUUCAUUUACAUGAACCAUUCUUUUGAUGGAAUAUCUGAAGAGAGAAAUGUGUGUGUUUGUAGUCCAUUCCAGUUCUGGUUCUGUGCAAAUUCUAAUAAAAAUGAAAUGUAAUUGAUCCUCAAAAAUAUGAUUCAUCUAUUUUAAGUCAUCAGUCAACACACAUUUAAAUAGCAAAUUGCUAUUAAAAUUCCUAACUUUAAUGACUCACUUUUUAUGCUUGUUCUCUCUUAUCUCCUGGUAGACCAGUAAACAUUCCACUAAGGUUCACAAAUAAAUUCUUCAGGGAGUAAUGCUUGCGUGGUUCUUUAGCCAAUAGUUGGCCCACUACUUCCAAGUCAACUGAUGUUGGCAUCCAACAUGUUUUAUUUUUCCAGCUAACAGUUGGAUAUUCAUUUAUUCAUUUACUGAAUGUUUAAUGAGUAUAGUGCUAUGAAUCAGGCACCACACUGUUUCCUGAGGAUAAAGUGUGGAAGAAAAAGACAUAGUCCCUGUCCUCCUGGAGCUUUUAUGCUGAUACAAAAGGCUGAUACUGAACAAGUGACUACAUGUUCUGUCAGCAAUGUGGAGACUAGAUGGGGAAAAGAACAAGAAGGGUGUGGAAGACUAUUUGAAAGGGUAUUUUUAUUGUAUUUUCGCUAGCAUGAGCCAGCUAACCAGAUAAUAGCAUGAUUCAUUUCCCCAGAGGGUCUAUUUUAUAAUACACAAAGGAGUCACAAGGACAUUCCUAACUGACCUCGGAUGUUUUUUAAUUAAAAAGAAGUUGCACUAGUUUACAUGGAAAGCAACAGAGAGAGAAAAGUUAGGAGAAAAUAAAACAGCCCCCUAAAAGAUACACUAGGCGAUGUAAUAUCACACAGGAGAUUCUACUGUAGUUGCAUCUUUAAAGAGCUGAAGUGGGGAUGCAGGCAUCUCAGCAAAUUCUAUUGUCAUUUCAAGGUAGAAACUUACGAACCAACCUACCAGUUCAAAAUUUAAUUAUAUGUGUUUGUUGAUUUUUGUUUUGGGAGGAACCAGAGGAGUGUUAGGUCAGCUGAUUGAUAGAUGAAGUAUGUAGUCCAAUUUGUUUGUGAAGGGCUUUCUCUCCAUAAAAAUAAGCACCAAUUUAUUCUUCUCUUAUUUCUGUAGUUUUACAAAUUCUAUGUGCUGAACAUAAAGUCUUCAUAAUAAUAGCUAACAUGUUCUAUGUGCUCGCUACAUGACAGUAAAGUACUGUACUAAAUAUGCCAUAAUCAGAUCUCUUAAUCUGCUCUGAGAUAUGAAAGAGGUGCUAUUUUUAAUCCCAUUUUUCAGAUGAGGAAAUUGAGAUAUUAAAAAAGUAACUUGCCCAAGGUGACAGAGCUACUCAGUGAUGCAGCCAACCUCACAGCCAAGCAGUUUGAGGGUAGAACUUUCCACUACAAUACUACAUCCAUGACAUCAUCAGAGGCAUCACCAAUGGCCCCAUGACCAUGACUGUAAUCUAUUUUAAGAUUUUCUUUGUAAAUUAGAUCCACUCUUCAGAACAAAUUUUGUGGCUUUUUAUAUUGGGAAUUGAACCUAUCAGUUUGAAGGUGUUAAAUAAAUAUUAAAUAAUGGUCAUAAUAAAAAAAAAUAAGGAAGCCCCAGAUGCUCUGUGAGCAAAAGGAGUUUGAGUUAUUAUGCGCUGAGAUACUUUAGCACAGUCUUCACAAAACAGCAACAUAUGAGCUCCAGUGCAGCCACAUCAGCCACGGACUGGCUGUGAUUAGGGUUUUUCCCUUUAUAAGAGAAAUACUUUACCUCCACAUAGCACCAGCUAUGGCUGCCUUAGUUAACUAUUGUUCUUCUCUUUUACCCAGAGGCAACCUAUGCCUAUGUAUGAAGUAGCUACUUGCACUGUGUGCCCCCCGCCACACAUGUGUCCACUACAUAAGAAAUCACCUACUUUUACUAUGUGAGGCUUUUAUUGUUCGGCUCGAACCAAUAAUUGUACCACUUCUGAGAUGACAUGAGAGCAUGCCAACUCCAGCCCAAUAUUGAUCAAACUGACUCUGAAAAUAGUUUAUUGUUCUAGCAGCAUGUUUCCUCUGGAUUUGUAUACAGAUACCAAAUCAUUCUUAUGAAAAAAUUAACAGAAAUAAAAAAAAAACGAGGGCCAUGGACAUCUGCAGGAUCAUCCAGAGCUCACUAUUCCUGUGCUUUUGGAGACAUCCACCUGCUGUUCCAUGGAGAAUUCCCCAGGAAACAUCUUUGGAACUAUAAAAUUGAAUAUAUUAAAAGGUAGUCAGUAGCCACGUGGGAGUUAUGGAGCUCAAAAAAUAUGGCUCAUCUGUCUGCAGCUGGACAGUGCCAUGUAACACAGUCAAGAAGCCUGGCUAUGCUUUCAGUCCCGGCACUUCACAUACUUCAUUAUUUGGGGGCUAUGCCAGGUCAAUCAAGAGCCCAGUUGGGAGCCCAUAGAUGGAUCAUACAGAUCUGUUUCAUCAUUUCUACACAUAAACACAGCGGGGUGCAACUGUAGUGACACUGUACCCAGAUCACUGUUGGCAGACGGAGUUUCACUUUAAUUG
rnacentral:lncRNA from 10 species